rnacentral:sRNA from 1 species
UCUAGAUUCCAUACCUAAGUUCCACAACUAUAUCCACCAGGCUUUCAUCGAUGGGUCUCAUCAAACAAGCUAACAUUCAAGAUCCUUCUAGACUCAUUCCUGAACUAUACCAUGAUAAAUCGACCAUUCU